AAGAAUUCUUCACGUGGUAUUUCACAUGAAUGAUGUAUUUUUCUCAUCUUUAAAUCUCUAAUUAAUUCGUACGUGUAUUCUUUGUUUUAAUUGAAAGAUCAACUUCCUCCGGAGAAAUAGAAAUGAAUUCAAACGGAAGAAUAGUUUUAUGCAUUUUCAUAAUCAUUGCCACGAAUACAAUCCACUUUGCUUUCGGUAAAUACGAACCUUUAUACGUUAGGAAAAAAACUGUCGGUUACGGGUACGAUUUGAUACAAAAAGUAAGGUACUAUACCGCGUCCAACACUCUUCUCAUAGUAGAAUCGUUCGGCCAUGAAGUAUUAUUAGCAUGUCCAAUUGUCCAAGAAAAGAUGACUACAAUUAAUUCUCUCGAAAUACAAAAACGGGAGCAAGAUAACACACUCUAUGAUCAUAUUUGCCAAACCGAAAUCCAAUCGAAAUUUUAUACUCCAUCCUGGCCCACACUUCUCUGGAGCGUUAUUGGAUUUACAAUCUUUACACCAGAUGAAGAAGGUCCCAAAUACAACUACUAUGCAGGUGUCCCCAAA